rnacentral:rRNA from 1 species
UACGUAGGGGGCGAGCGUUGUCCGGAUUUAUUGGGCGUAAAGAGCUCGUAGGCGGUUUGGCAAGUCGGGUGUGAAAACUCCGGGCUCAACUCGGAGACGCCACUCGAUACUGCUAUGACUCGAGUCCGGUAGGGGAGUGCGGAAUUCCUGGUGUAGCGGUGAAAUGCGCAGAUAUCAGGAGGAACACCGGUGGCGAAGGCGGCACUCUGGGCCGGUACUGACGCUGAGGAGCGAAAGCGUGGGGAGCGAGCAGG